UCCUUGAUGUCUGAUCGGUCCUGCUA
rnacentral:sRNA from 1 species